UGGGGAAUAUUGCCCAAUGGACGGAAGUCUGAUGCAGCAACGCCGCGUGCGGGAUGACGGCCUUCGGGUUGUAAACCGCUUUUUCUCAUGACGAAGUUUUUUGACGGUAGUGGGGGAAGAAGCACCGGCUAACUACGUGCCAGCAGCCGCGGUGAUACGUAGGGUGCGAGCGUUGUCCGGAAUUAUUGGGCGUAAAGAGCUUGUAGGCGGUUUGUCGCGUCGAUAGUGCAAACUCAGUGCUUAACGCUGAGCCUGCUGUUGAUACGGGCAGACUGGGGGAGGGGAGGGGGGAAGGGAAUUCCCGGUGGGGCGGUGGAAUGCGCAGAUAUCGGGGGGAACACCGGGGGCGAAGGCGGUUCUCUGGGCCUUUCCUGACGCUGGGAAGCGAAAGCGUGGGGAGCGAACAGG
rnacentral:rRNA from 1 species